GUCACCGCAGCUUGCGGUUGACAAGUCAGUGUUAACGUUUGUGAUAGCUACCUGUGGAGUUGAACAAAUCGUCUUUUUUUUUGCUUACGAUGUCGGGAAGAACCUGUUGUGUGUUCGGCUGUUACAACAGCAGUGGGGAGAUAGAGAUAUGGAACAAAAAUGUAUAAGUUCACCGUUAUUACCGUGUUGACACCAUAAGCACUAGCUAAUAGCACUGCAGCUUCCCAUCGAGCCGAAGAACAAGCUGUUCAGAAGUGGAGUGGAUUGUGAACAUCAACGUUCAGAACAAACAUGUCACGGGGUCAUUGUCAUCUGGAAGAGCACCUCCCAAAAGAAGAUGUCCUCAGCCUUUACAAGAGGACACAUCAUGUGCUUGGAAUUUGUGCACAAUGGAAUAAAGAACAGUUGUUGAUGUAUUAAUUACAGUUUAUUUGAA